rnacentral:tRNA from 1 species
GCCCGGAUGGUCUAGUGGUAUGAUUCUCGCUUUGGGCUAUAUAGUUCAAUCUGCGAGAGGUCCCGCGUUCAAUCCGCGGUUCGGGCC